rnacentral:sRNA from 1 species
UGCGUCAUACGCUGGCCGGUACUUUGUGC